CUAGACUGUCAGUGGAAAUAAUUUUGGUCCAUUCUGCUGAAGUGUUUGGGUCUGUUUAAUAAGCUUACAAAUAAAGACACCAAAAAGCAAUAUUUCUCAAUGAGGAAGACAAUUAGCACUUUAGAUAAGAAAAUUCUUUUUUUUGUCAGAAUAGAUCAAGGAUUAUUUUUUUUGUUAUUAUUAUUAUUUUUUCCAUUUCUUUGGGCCGCUCCCACGGUAUAUGGAGAUUCCCAGGCUAGGGGUCGAAUCGGAGCUGUAGCCGCCGGCCUACGCCAGAGCCACAGCAAUGCAGGAUCUGAGCCGCAUCUGCAACCUACACCACAGCUCAUGGCAACGCCGGAUCGUUAACCCAUUGAGUAAGGGCAGGGACCGAACCCGCAACCUCAUGGUUCCCAGUCGGAUUCCUUAACCACUGUGCCACGACGGGAACUUCUAGAUCAAGGAUUAUUAAACGUCUAUCUCCCCUGCCUCCCCUCCCCGACUAAACUCUGGUGGCACCCUGCAAUUGCUGUGACCGCUGACACCACUGUGCCUUCCCAUUUCUAAUGCCUUCCGCAGGGUUAGUAGCAACCAGCACUGAGAACUACCAAGGAAAGAAGCAAUCGUGAAUUUACACGAGAUUUCUGGAUUACUUCUGGAAACAGCAUUGUAGAUGAGUAAUGGAUAUCAGGAUCUGAAGUCAAACAAACUGUCAGAUAGGAAAACAAGGCCAGGAACACAGAGGAAAGCUGGGUGAAAGGAACCUAUUUGGGGAAGAUCAGAAGUCAGUAGAGAGAGGUAGAGAAGAUUCAUAGGUCCAAAGAGAGGAAGAUAAGACGAACUAAUUACUAACUCAAAAGAGAAGUGAACUGUCUUAAAUAUCUUAGGACUUUCCCCUUCAACCUGACCCAGAGUCUCAGGUGACUCUCAGGUGACCCCUGUUUGGUUCAGCACCUGGUUUUCCACCAGGGGCUUGCCAGGUAUUUUGAGAAGAGUCUCUAUCCCUUAUAUGAGCUUGUAGUUUUAUCCUCCACUUCAUAUAUCUGAAGGAAGUAGAUGAGAAUAAAGCAACGUGUCUAGAUUUGCUGUGCAUCAGUAAAGCAGUGAUGGUUAACCCUAUGGAGAAAUGGCCUGAAAGUAGGAAUGAAAAAUUCGUGUAGGUCAUUUAGAAUUUCAAGACUUUUUUAUAUCAACUACUCAGUGUUUCUUGAGCGUGUCCACAUUUUUCUGCACCCACAUCCACUCCCAUUAUAACCUUCCACCCAUACUGUCCUUCCCUCACUCUCAUUGUCUGCCCCAACCCAUCCCCCAAGCUUCAGCUCAGGGGCCACUGUCUCCGAAAGCCCUUUCCAAAAUCCCAUGGUUCUUUGUUUUCUGUUUUUUUCCUUUAUGGUCCAUGAAGGAGUUUUACUUUAUUUUUUACUUUUUAUAUGUGGGGUAUUAUUUUCUUGACAUGAAUUGGAAACUCUUGGAAACUAAGGACUAUUGUCUUUUCAUUGUAUUUGUAGCCACACUUGCAAUUAUCUCCUACUUCAGAGCUUCCCAGUUGGUGUGUGGAAAACCUUCAUAGUACACACCACCAACUUCUCAACAAUGUGUAAAUUUUAUUUGACUAUAUAACUAAGGAUGCAUAUUGUUACUGCAAUGACUGCAGGUGAAACACGGAAUUGAGUAGAUGCAGCAAAGAGUACAGGGCGAGGUAUAAUUUGCUGCAAAAUAAGAAGAGACUUGAUAUUAUCAAAAUUGCAUCAAAGAAAGAGCAUAAUAACUGAAAUAAGAAAUGAUCCUUUAAGACAACAAAUGACUGCAACUAUUUUGACAUCUAAAGCAGAGUAGCAAAAUUCAUUGCUUUAGUGGAUGGGUAUUUUAUUUUAAGAAAUAAUUGGAAGGAGUUCUCUUGUGGUGCAGUGGAUUAAGGAUUUGGCAUUGUCACUAUAGUGGCUCAGGUCCCUGCUAUGGCACAGUUUCUAUCCCUGGCCUGGAACCUGGAAUUUCUACAUGCCGCAGGCUCAGGAAAGAAAAACAAACAAACAAACAAACAAAAAAAACCGCCUUGAUGGUUAAGAGUGAGAAAACAAAGAAAGGUAGAUUUCUCUGUCAAAUAAAGACUGGUAUGCAGUCUUCCAAGAAGCAGAGUAAUUGUGCGGCAGCCGUGGGGACAGAGGGGUGUGACUUGGAGAAGAGGAAAUACAGGGCUGCAGGAGAUGGAGAGAGGUG
rnacentral:lncRNA from 1 species